rnacentral:rRNA from 1 species
CAAUAGCGUAUAUUAAAGUUGUUGCAGUUAAAAAGCUCGUAGUUGGAUUUCUGGUAGGAGUGACCGUUCCGAACUUGAUUGUUCGUGUAUUGUGUUUGCUCCAGCCAUCCUUGUGGAGAACUUUUCUUGCAUUAAUUUGUAGGGAUUGGGACCCGCAUCGUUUACUGUGAAAAAAUUAGAGUGUUUAAAGCAGGCAAUCGCUUGAAUACAUUAGCAUGGAAUAAUAAGAUAGGACUUUGGUACUAUUUUGUUGGUUUGCAUACCAAAUUAAUGAUCAACAGGAACAGUUUGAGGAUAUUCGUAUGAACAUGUCAGAGGUGAAAUUCUUGGAUUUUGAUCAGACGAACUACUGCGAAAGCAUUUAUCAAGGAUGUUUUCAUUAA